AGUGAACGCUGGCGGUAGGCCUAACACAUGCAAGUCGAACGGCAGCACAGGAGAGCUUGCUCUCUAGGUGGCGAGUGGCGGACGGGUGAGGAAUACAUCGGAAUCUGCCCAGUCGUGGGGGAUAACGUAGGGAAACUUACGCUAAUACCGCAUACGACCUUCGGGUGAAAGAGGGGGAUCGCAAGACCUCUCGCGAUUGGAUGAGCCGAUGUCGGAUUAGCUAGUUAGCGGGGUAAUGGCCCACCAAGGCGACGAUCCGUAGCUGGUCUGAGAGGAUGAUCAGCCACACUGGAACUGAGACACGGUCCAGACUCCUACGGGAGGCAGCAGUGGGGAAUAUUGGACAAAGGGCGCAAGCCUGAUCCAGCCAUACCGCGUGGGUGAAGAAGGCCUUCGGGUUGUAAAGCCCUUUUGUUGGGAAAGAAAUCUUUCAGGCUAAUACCCUGGGAGGAUGACGGUACCCAAAGAAUAAGCACCGGCUAACUUCGUG
rnacentral:rRNA from 1 species